UUUAUAUCGUGAAUUAGAUAAUUAAAUGUUGCGAUAGCAAUCGUGCUCUACUUAAAUUAUUUAUUUUGCCAUUAUUUUUUUUGAUU